rnacentral:rRNA from 1 species
UCCCGGUAAUGAUCCUUCCGCAGGUUCACCUACGGAAACCUUGUUACGA